rnacentral:rRNA from 1 species
UGCAAGUCGAGCGGAACGAGUUAUCUGAACCUUCGGGGAACGAUAACGGCGUCGAGCGGCGGACGGGUGAGUAAUGCCUAGGAAAUUGCCCUGGUGUGGGGGAUAACCAUUGGAAACGAUGGCUAAUACCGCAUAAUACCUUCGGGUCAAAGAGGGGGACCUUCGGGCCUCUCGCGUCAGGAUAUGCCUAGGUGGGAUUAGAUAGUUGGUGAGGUAAUGGCUCACCAAGGCGACGAUCCCUAGCUGGUCUGAGAGGAUGAUCAGCCACACUGGAACUGAGACACGGUCCAGACUCCUACGGGAGGCAGCAGUGGGGAAUAUUGCACAAUGGGCGCAAGCCUGAUGCAGCCAUGCCGCGUGUGUGAAGAAGGCCUUCGGGUUGUAAAGCACUUUCAGUCGUGAGGAAGGUAGUGUAGUUAAUAGCUGCAUUAUUUGACGUUAGCGACAGAAGAAGCACCGGCUAACUCCGUGCCAGCAGCCGCGGUAAUACGGAGGGUGCGAGCGUUAAUCGGAAUUACUGGGCGUAAAGCGCAUGCAGGUGGUUUGUUAAGUCAGAUGUGAAAGCCCGGGGCUCAACCUCGGAAUAGCAUUUGAAACUGGCAGACUAGAGUACUGUAGAGGGGGGUAGAAUUUCAGGUGUACGGUGAAAUGCGUAAGAUCUGAAGGAAUACCGGUGGCGAAGGCGGCCCCCUGGACAGAUACUGACACUCAGAUGCGAGAGCGUGGGGAGCAAACAGGAUUAAUACCCUGGUAGUCCACGCCGUAAACGAUGUCUACUUGGAGGUUGUGGCCUUG